GGGUCAGCAGGUCGGUCGUGCCACAGGUAUGUACUGUCCUUGCUGAUUUCUCCCUCUUGACGAAACUUAAUGAAUCAGGACUGAGGGCGCUCUCAUUCUCGUACUCUCCGGGAGUACCUUCGCCGAUCCGGCUGUUACUUUGAAAAAAUUAGAGUGUUUAAAGCAGGUAUGCGCUUGAAUACAUUAGCAUGGAAUAAUGAAAUAGGACGUUCGAUCAUAUUUUGUUGGUUUCUAGGAUUGACAUA
rnacentral:rRNA from 1 species